rnacentral:rRNA from 1 species
UACGUAGGUGGCGAGCGUUGUCCGGAUUUACUGGGCGUAAAGGGCUUGUAGGCGGUCCGUUAAGUCCGAUGUGAAAUCUCCCGGCUCAACUGGGAGAGGUCAUUGGAUACUGGCGGACUAGAGGGGGGGUAGAGGAAAGCAGAAUUCCUGGUGUAGCGGUGAAAUGCGUAGAUAUCAGGAGGAAUACCAGUGGCGAAGGCGGCUUUCUGGGCCUACCCUGACGCUGAGGAGCGAAAAGCGUGGGGGAGCAAACCGG